UGUGGGAGCUGGCCUGCCAGCGAUACAGGCGCCUCGGUCUUCCAUUAAAGUCGAGGUGAUGCCAUCGCUGGCAGGCCAGCUCCCACA
rnacentral:misc_RNA from 1 species